CAUGUUUUACUCCUCGGGUGUAUUUGAUAGUGAUUAUGUACACAUAUACUAGGUUUGUUAUUACUAACUUCCAAAAAGAGAAAUGUUACCAUCCUAGGGUUGAUCAAUCUUAGAUCGGAAAGUUAUCCUAUUUCUGAAUAUUUUUCUAGACCUCUUUUAGUAUUUACCAUGUUACCCUUACUAUUACUUAAUUUGUUUUCAUUCAUCUCUUCUGGGUUUAACUUGCAUAAUUUGUUUCUGCAUGCAAAUAGUGAGAUAUGGCACUGAAAAUUAAACAGGAACUUAACCGUAUCAAAGAUAAGCUACUGUAAAAUGUUGAGGCUCGGUAGACUUCUACAAAAACAAUUAAAAUUAACUUAAGAUCCUAUGGUUGUUUGCACUUAACUAUUUUUAUCUCCAGUCUCACAGAGAUUUUGGCUCUGAUGUUUUUUUAACAGUAAGUUAUACAAGUGCAACACGAGUUCCAGUGAAUUUUCUAUGAUUUUUGGUGAAGGACAUCUAUUUUACAUAAUAUUUUAUCAUUUAAUCUUGUACAAAAAUAUAAGCAUGUUUCACCAAGUUUCAUCCAGUGAACAAUAUUUUUCCUAGCAAGUAUGUUUCACAAGUGAUCUAAGCAAGGUGGUUUCAUAUUUUUCUCUGACAGAUUCUAUUUAUUAUGCAAAAAGCAAGAUUUCACCCUAGAUUUCAAAGUUAAAUCUAAAAUAGUGUGUAAAACAUCUAAACAAGGGUCACAACUAUUUUUAUAAGCACAAGUUCAAAGUAACAAAGCCAAUAGAGGUGGUUUCGCUAUUUUACCAUUUUUGUGUGAUUUACCAAGCAUUUAAAAGCUUAAACACUAAUUAAAAUCCAGUUCUAAAUAAAGAUCAGAAACAUGCAUAUGAGUAUAUUUAAAAGAAACUAGACAUCACCAGAAACCUAUCAAACCAAGAAUCACAUUUUUCCCCUUUUUCUACAUUUUUCUAUGCCUUUUCAAAGUUCUCAGCUUUUAGAUCUAGGAAAAAUAAACAAAACCGAGGUCAACUUGCAAACUAGCCCCCAGGUCUACGGUUUAAUCAUGCAAAGGUUCCUGGAUUUUCCCAUACCCCUCUAUCCUUUCUUCUUCUUCUCCAC
rnacentral:lncRNA from 1 species